rnacentral:rRNA from 1 species
CACUAUUCCGACUAGGCCCAAAAUCAGGAUAUUACAUAGCGAAAUGCGAUACUUGGUGUGAAUUGCAGAAUCCCGUGAACCAUCGAGUCUUUAAACGCAAGUUGUGCCCCAAGCCAUUAAGUCGAGGGCACGUCUGCCUGGGUGUCA